CUCUCUGCUUCAACUGACAACUGGCCUGACAGAUGAAGUCCACGGAAAAGGCAGAGCAACGUCUUUCUAUAGGGACACAUUUUUUGCAGAGGUAUGGGAAACUCCUGCACCUUGUAUAUAGAGCGGCCCUUGAUGAAAUAUGGGUGAUCUGAAAUUCCACACCUGAGUCUGAGAACACAAUUAAUCCACCUUCAUGAAUUGUGUCCUACACAAAGAAGCACACCACAGCGGGUGAGAUACGGAAUGCAUAGAUCCUUUCCCCACUUCUGGAACACAAGUAGAAUCAAACUGGCAAACAAACCGCACAACCUUGGAGGUCUAAUAAGGAAUGGUUUCUGAUGUCACAAUUCUCUACAUAUCUCACUGAGAAGCCAGUCCUACUGUGUUCGGUAGAGCAUAUUCUCAGGAAAAAUGAGUACAGGAUUGUACCCUGGAAAAUAAUCAGCAGCUCAAGCCUCAGCAUCUUUACUCAGAAGUAAGUCCUACUGCAUUCAGUUGUGUUCAUACUGAUAUAGGAUUGUGGCUGAAUUGAAUGUCCAGCAAACUAAAUACUGACACAGACCCCUUUAUAUACCACAGAUCACAGAACAUAAAGUACAAUAUUAUAAAAUGUUACUCAGUUCAAAUGUAAAUAAAGUGGCUUACUUUCAAAUAAAUAUGCUUAGGACUGGACUCCAUGGCAGUUCUUCUGUCUGUCUACUUGUAUAUUAAUUAUGUGGAUUAUUUGUUUAGCAGAGCUUCCUGUUAGAAGUGCAAUUUUGGGGGGGGGGGGGACAAAAGAGAAAGAAGAUGGAUUUAAACUAUAGAGCAGCCUUCCCCCCAAUCCAGCACUUUGGCCAUGCUGGCUGAGGAUGAUGGGAGUUGUAAUCCAAAACAUCUAGAGGGUGCAGUUAGGAAAGGUUGAAAUAAGGGUAUAUUCAAAAAGGAAACUUAUGCUGUAUGUGCUUUUAUAGUUUGUUGGCUUAUAUUUUUUGCUCUUACCAUUACUAUGCUUGUCACCAUUAGGUUGUCUAUAUCACUUUCCAAACGGAAAUAGUAAGUAGAACCAAGUAGACUUUCUUGUUGUUUACCCCCACUAAAGCCCAGAAUAAAUGUUGCACAUUGUGAUACAAUAUACUGUGGGGAAAAAGUACAUGCUUUCUAGUGCACUGCUUGUCCAAUUUGGGUAUCAUAAAUCAAAUGUACUAGUCACUACUAUGACACAUGCAUGGUGGGUGGGCAUCGCUCAGCAGUGUUCAAUAUAGAUGGCUAUUUCUUCUCCUCCGAUUGCUUUACAAUCUUUACAAUGAAGAUUGCUUUACGAUGAAGGCAAAAUUGGGCCCUCUUUAUUUACAAGCCAUCUUUUAAAAAGUUCUUUCCUUAAAGAGAUCACCUAAGUGCCACACUAUAAGAAUUAAUUUAAAACAUCCAAAAAUAUAUAUGUAUAUUAUUAGCUUUGACAGUAUACUGCAGGGGAACUCAGCAGCUGUUUUCAUUUCACCUAUAGUUUGUCACGCCCUGUUAGAUUCCAACUCUGUCUCUGAGCACUGAUAGUGGGGCUGAUGAGAGUUGGAAAAAUCUAACAAAAUGUGCAGGGUCCCAGAUGUCGUACCUUCUACAUUCCCAAGAGAAAGCUCACAAGGUAUGUCUUGAGCAAGAAUAAAGCAUACUAGCAGAGCAAGGCAAUGGAAUAUUGCAGUUAUUUUAACCAUGGAACUAGUUGGCACCAUAGUUCCAGGGCAUAUGGAUCCUAAUAAAUUUAUUGUUGUCAUCCAAAAGCCCUAGAACUACAUGAUGCCAACCAAUUCUGUGGUUAAAUUAGUGCAAUAUUCCCUUACCCUGGUGUGCUAGUUAGCAUACGUCCUCCUUGGAACAAGGUGACACCAUGUGUUUCCAAGGCUUUUGAAUCCUAGCAUCAUCUAAUGUUUAAAUAUUUACACUCACUAACAUUGUACCAGAUCUCAAUCUCUUUCUUUUCCCUUCAAAAACUAUAGCUUGCCAUAAACCACAUAAAAACUGAAAUAAUGAGUGGCCUUGGCUACCAGACGGAUGGUAAAUAAAUGAAUGAAUGAAUGACUAAAUAAAUAAAUUUGAAACAUUUUAAGAUUAACUUUGUAACAUAUAGUACAUUUUCCAACCUUCAUUAUUAUUCUCACUUUAAAUCUCAAGGAAACAGAGUUCCUGCACAGACUGGCUUCAGACAUUGAGCCACAAUUCCUAAAACAAAACUAAUUUCUUCUUCUCUUAGCUCUGUCAGGGCAGUAGAUUUUUCAAAGUACUGUAAAUUAUUAAGAGACUGUGAAACACAGUGUCAAAGAAAUAGCCCUCCAUUGGUUUCACUAAUCCUCAACUGUGUUCCUUAUUUCUUUUCACUAAAUAGCUACCGAAAACUGAUGGGCUGUUUCUGAUAACAAUUCCAAGAACAGGCCAUUGUCUCUCAUGUAACAUCCCAGAAUAUAUCUGCUAGAAAGCUGCAAAAUUGACAAUUCUAGGUAAUUAAAGAGGAUUAAUAAACCGGUGGGCUGAGAUGUCUAGCAAUGGAAAGUACAGGCUUUUUAAGCAGACAGCGUCUGCGAACCAGGAUGGUUAUUUUUUUCUAUAAACUGCAAGAGGCCAAUGAGAUAGAUAGCAGGAAGGACAGCUAGGAAAAAGUUGCUUCUUUGGACUCCCAUCUCACAGAGUAUCUCAGCCAACGUGACCAACUUCCACAGUCAGUCAGAAUUAUAAACCAAAAAAGCAACUUUUCCCUUGUAGAAACAGAAAGCCAAGUAAGUUUUAAGAGUAGAACUGGCACUCUUCUGCAUUUUCUGUAGUGUUUUAUGUCUAUAUUACAUAAGGUGGAAACAUACCAAGAUGUAGUUGAUGCACUCCUUUGUUUUCUGCUCAUAGUUGAAGUAUGAACCUGUGCAGAUUGUGAGCCCAUCUGGGCAGUCAGGAUGUUUUCAAUGUUGUAAAGUUGCUGUCUCAGCCCCCCUGACCAUAAGAUGAUGCAUCAAACCUCUCUCCCUCCUGGCAUCUCCCUGUUAUUUCACACCAAGGGAGCAGUCAGCAGGUAGGGGUUGGAAGGUCUGGAAAGGAUCGGCGCUGGAUGAAGACGAACCACAGCCAACCACAAGCCUGCAGCAGCACUUUUAAGGACAGUGGACUCAUCCAUAAAGUAGAAAGCACUACUAAACGCACGUGUCCAAGUGUAGUGUUUCCUACUUUAUGGAUGAGUGUACUGUGAGCAACGGAGGCAACAGAAAGAAGCAGAGCCCUACACAGGAAGAGGGGAAGGUGCACGCAGUGGAAGAGCUACAGGGUGGUCCACAGAGUACAUUGUGUAAUUUUUUUAAGUGCACACUUUUUGUCGUACUGUCAGUUCAUACAUCUUCCUUCCCCACAUACUGUACGUGAUAUUCACAGCUACAUUUCUUGCCUGUAGUAAAAGUAGACUUCGGUCUAGAUGGGCUGGGUAUAAAUUGAAUAAAUGAAAUAAAAUAAAAAAAUAAAGUGGUCCUCCAGAUAGUCAGUCUGCAAGUGCUGUUAUCCCUAGCUGGCAUAGCCAAGGGUGAGUAUGUUGGGAAUUGCAGUUCCUGGUGUUUGAAGGGCUGAACUUGCCCAUGGCUCCUGCAAUAUUUGCUUCUGAAUUCAAGCUGAACAGGUAAGGGAGCAGCAACACUUACAUCAACAUAUAGUAAGGAUGUAUGAAAAUUACCUAUGCUCUCUUUUCUCAUACUUCACCAAUACAUUCGCCUUUUCCUUCCACAUACGACCAUUCAGACUUCUGCAAGUAUACAUACAAGUUUUAAAAGGCAGAAUUGUGUUCAGUUUGCUUAGCGGGGGCAGGAGGAGAGAUCACAUUGUCAACACACCCUUGAUGAGCACCUUCAGAAUGGACUGGCUGUUGAUGUGUGUCUGAAACAAAGGGAAGGGACAUUCUGCUACUGCUGUGUGAUGUAUUUAAUGCCCGUCACUAUCACUAAAAUUAAAUACACAUAAUUAAAUACA